rnacentral:rRNA from 1 species
GUCGUAACAAGGUUUCCGUAGGUGAACCUGCGGAAGGAUCAUUGACACAAAACAAUCCAAAAAACCAGAGAAAACCCCCCCUUCCCGGGUCGCUUGCGAUCCGGCGAGGCCCACGCAGGGUCUCACCAUCCGCCCGGCGUCGGGUGGGCCCCUCACGGGGUCCGCUCGGCGUCGGGCCCUUUCACACCUGAAACCCAUCAACCGAACAAAGGCCUUUGCGCUUGCGCAGGUCAACACUAAUAUCCACGCCUCUUAACGGUGGAUCUCUUGGUUCCGGCGACGAUGAAGAACGCAGCGAAAUGCGAUACGUAAUGUGAAUUGCAGGAUUAAGUGAAUCAUCAAAUCUUUGAACGCAAAUGGCAGUUGGGUGCUUUCAGCACCGGACUAUGCCUGGUUCAGACCCGCUUACAAACCAAUCACACACAUCUAAUGUGUCGUGGACAAUGGCAGUGACUCAACAGGCUGUUGGUCUCUGCUCAAGUGCAAGCCAUCGUCUCGGUUAACCGGCUUCGGCCGGGGAGCCUCUGAGGCGUGACUUAGGUGAUACCAUCUUCGUCGCACCACCUCUAGGGAACUUUCAAAGACUAAACAUCUUGCUAAAACAUGGGCUGAGCUCAGGUAAGAGGACCCGCUGAAUUUAAACAUAUUAUUAAGCGGAGGAAAAGAAACUAACAAGGAUCCCCUCAGUAACGGCGAGUGAAGCGGGGAUAGCUCAAUCCGAAAAUCCCCGGGUCUAACCUGUGGGAAUUGUGGUCUAGAGGAGCUUGUCCGGUCACGCUCUUGGAGUAACUCGUUGUUGAGACAGCGGGCCAUAGAGGGUAAUAGCCCCGUAUAUGUCCAGGGAAUGCGUACGACCAUUCGGAACUGCUUCCAGAGAGUCGUGUUGCUCGGGACUGCAGCACAAAACGGGAGGUAAUAUCCUUCUAAAGCUAAAUAUUCGCUGGAGACCGAUAGCGAACAAGUACCGUGAGGGAAAGAUGAAAAGAACUUUGAAAAGAAAGUGAAAAGUACGUGAAACCGUUAAGGGUGAAGCGAGAUGCUCCUAUUGUGCCUUAGGUGGUUUCUGGUGCUACUAAGUGCCAGUUCAACGACCGUGGGCCGCCUUGAUGGAUUCGUCCCGGGUCAGAACAGCGCGUCGGAGGGAAGCAGCCAUUUUGUUGGUUGUGAAUGCGGCGUGCCCACGGCUUGGGGUGGAUUGAGGAAACGGCGCGAACCUGCGCGUGGUUCCGCUGCGUGGAAGCAUGGAGUUGAUCGCCUGCGAUGUUCUCUGUGCCAAGCGUAGCGUGCUACGGGCUUCACGUGCCCAAGAUCAAGGUAACGGAGUGUCCCGACCCGUCUUGAAACACGGACCAAGGAGUCUAACAUGUGUGCGAGUGUUUGGGUGGCAAACCCGGACGCGUAGAGAAAUCAAGAGGACCGAAGCGUAAGCUGCAGGUCCGGCUGCACUUGAUCUUUUGUGAAAAGUCUAGCAAGAGCAUAUAUGCUGGGACCCGAAAGAUGGUGAACUAUGCGUGA